CUUACCCAUCUUUGUAAAAAAUCAUUUCAAUUGUAGCUGGCUGAUGCACUUACAAGUGUAGGUGGUGUGCUACACAAGGGGUAAGUCUUUGGCUAACACCACAAGGGUCUCUGGCUCACUGAGCAGAGUUUGAUAGUAAUUUUUGCUACACCU
ensembl:snoRNA SNORA62 Small nucleolar RNA SNORA62/SNORA6 family